CGGCCCUACGGGUUGUAAACUGCUUUUAUACUGGAAUAAACCUCAGGUCGUGACCUGGGCUGAAUGUACAGUAAGAAUAAGGAUCGGCUAACUCCGUGC
rnacentral:rRNA from 1 species